AACUCCGGAAGCUACAUUACAUAUAGUUUUACAAUAAUCAACUUCAAAUGCAUAGCAAGACAAAUAAGAAUAUACUCUGUUUAACCAAGGUAGGUGCGAACGAACAAAAUAGCCAAGAGACAAGAGAGUCAUUUUUUCGUUGUCGAUGAUUUCAAAUUUUGUUUAACAAAGAUCACAUUCUUAUAUAUAUUAUAUAUGAAUAUAGAAAUAUGCACUAAU
rnacentral:lncRNA from 1 species